rnacentral:rRNA from 1 species
UACGUAGGGUGCAAGCGUUGUCCGGAAUUAUUGGGCGUAAAGAGCUCGUAGGCGGUCUGUCGCGUCUGCUGUGAAAACUCGGGGCUUAACCCCGGGCCUGCAGCGGGUACGGGCAGACUAGAGUGCGGUAGGGGAGACUGGAAUUCCUGGUGUAGCGGUGAAAUGCGCAGAUAUCAGGAGGAACACCGGUGGCGAAGGCGGGUCUCUGGGCCGUAACUGACGCUGAGGCGCGAAAGCGUGGGGAGCAAACAGG